rnacentral:rRNA from 1 species
GUCCACGCCGUAAACGAUGAGUGCUAGAUGUCGAGGGUAUUGACCCCCGCGGCGUCGUAGCUAACGCGUUAAGCACUCCGCCUGGGGAGUACGGCCGCAAGGCUAAAAACUCAAAGGAAUUGACGGGGCCCGCACAAGCGGUGGAGCAUGUGGUUCAAUUCGACGCAACGCGCAAAACCUUACCUGGGUUAAAUCCACCAGAAUCCUGCAGAGAUGUGGGAGUGCCUUUCGGGAAAUUGGGAGAAGGUGCUGCAUGGCUGUCGU